UGCCCAUUGUAAGGAGUUUUACCAAUCGCUGAGAAUUUGGCUCUUUCCAUUAAUGAGAGGCUUUUGCCUAUUGCAGUUCUACGAAGAGAAAAAGACUUUUACCUAAGGCGAAUAAACGCAUAAUCCAAAAGGAAGAAAUUAUAGUUUAAGAUACCAUUUGUGGUGUAGUAGUUCUAGUAGUAAAGAUAAUGAGUUAUACCUAGAAAAAAUUGAGAAGAUGAACCAUGUUUUAUGUGUUUACUUUAUUUAUUUGCAGUUUACAUACUUUCG
rnacentral:misc_RNA from 1 species